rnacentral:rRNA from 1 species
GUGGGUAACCUACCCAUCAGAGGGGGAUAACACUUGGAAACAGGUGCUAAAUACCGCAUAACAGUUUUAUGCCGCAUGGGCAUAAGAGUGAAAGGCGCUUUCGGGUGUCGCUGAUGGAUGGACCCGCGGUGCAUUAGCUAGUUGGUGAGGUAACGGCUCACCAAGGCCACGAUGCAUAGCCGACCUGAGAGGGUGAUCGGCCACACUGGGACUGAGACACGGCCCAGACUCCUACGGGAGGCAGCAGUAGGGAAUCUUCGGCAAUGGACGAAAGUCUGACCGAGCAACGCCGCGUGAGUGAAGAAGGUUUUCGGAUCGUAAAACUCUGUUGUUAGAGAAGAACAAGGACGUUAGUAACUGAACGUCCCCUGACGGUAUCUAACCAGAAAGCCACGGCUAACUACGUGCCAGCAGCCGCGGUAAUACGUAGGUGGCAAGCGUUGUCCGGAUUUAUUGGGCGUAAAGCGAGCGCAGGCGGUUUCUUAAGUCUGAUGUGAAAGCCCCCGGCUCAACCGGGGAGGGUCAUUGGAAACUGGGAGACUUGAGUGCAGAAGAGGAGAGUGGAAUUCCAUGUGUAGCGGUGAAAUGCGUAGAUAUAUGGAGGAACACCAGUGGCGAAGGCGGCUCUCUGGUCUGUAACUGACGCUGAGGCUCGAAAGCGUGGGGAGCAAACAGGGAUUAGAUACCCUGGUAGUCCACGCCGUAAACGAUGAGUGCUAAGUGUUGGAGGGUUUCCGCCCUUCAGUGCUGCAGCAAACGCAUUAAGCACUCCGCCUGGGGAGUACGACCGCAAGGUUGAAACUCAAAGGAAUUGACGGGGGCCCGCACAAGCGGUGGAGCAUGUGGUUUAAUUCGAAGCAACGCGAAGAACCUUACCAGGUCUUGACAUCCUUUGACCACUCUAGAGAUAGAGCUUUCCCUUCGGGGACAAAGUGACAGGUGGUGCAUGGUUGUCGUCAGCUCGUGUCGUGAGAUGUUGGGUUAAGUCCCGCAACGAGCGCAACCCUUAUUGUUAGUUGCCAUCAUUUAGUUGGGCACUCUAGCGAGACUGCCGGUGACAAACCGGAGGAAGGUGGGGAUGACGUCAAAUCAUCAUGCCCCUUAUGACCUGGGCUACACACGUGCUACAAUGGGAAGUACAACGAGUCGGUAGACCGCGAGGUCAUGCAAAUGUCUUAAAGCUUCUCUCAGUUCGGAUUGCAGGCUGCAACUCGCCUGCAUGAAGCCGGAAUCGCUAGUAA